CCGGGUAGAACCGUCUGGAGCGAAGCCACAGCCUCCCAAACACUCCUGUGAUCAGCACCAAGACGACCAGCAGCCCCCCGAGGACAAAGGUCUCCACAUGAGGGACUCCGCCUGCAUCUACAUAAAAAAGGAAGCAGGUUUACCUGUCACGGAUGAAGGUGUACUGAAUAUUGCUGUACGGAUCGCUGGUUGGCGUCGCCCAGCAUCUCUCCAUACGCAGCAUCAGACUCGACUCCCGGCGUCUUACUUGGUUUGGCCGAUCCGGUGAACUCUGCCGAUGGCCUGGAGCUCGUGAGCGGGGUUGAGGAUCGGCUCCACCAGCAACACUUCUCAAACAGCUCCAUGAAGGUGUUGCCCUCCUCCACCAGCUCCGGAUCCAUGCGUUUAACUUUGGAAAAAGACAGGAUGGCUUUCAGAGAGCGCUCCGUCUCACUGGCUGCCCACAGACCUCGGCUGGUGGUGGGGAGACGGUCGUCCAUCAGCCCCUCCUCGUCUUCAAUCAUCUCUUCGAAGAUGGCCGUCUGACCCUUCACCCUGUCGGGCUGGACGUCAGCUCGUUCUUGAUGCGGGACACCAGGUCGUCGUCGUAGGAGCUGCGGAUCGCCCUCUGGAUAACUUCCAACCACCAAGGAGUGUUCAGCUUGACCUUCAGAAAGAAAGUUAAUCACAUGAAGAAAAGACAUUUUUGGUUCUGUCUUAAUUACAACAUUACUCCAAAUUCAGAUCAAUCUGAUUUCAGUGUGUCCAAAUAUAAAUAUAAACCUUGCUGUAGACUCAAACUUUUAACAAAAGUCUUUCCAGCAAUUAAAUCUCAUUCAGUAAAUUAGAAACUAAACUCACGGUAGAGCUAAUGCAUCUAAAGUCUUGCAGGUACGGUAGGGAAGAAAAAAUACCCAACCUAAACAAUAUAAAACAUCAUCAUAAAACAGCAUUUGCUCCCGUUAGGACAAGGAAACUAUUUUACUAAUUACUAUGGUGUGAAACAAACCUGACUUAGUACAUUUUCAGGGGACACAAACGGAUUUUCUUAAGUUUCCCUGAACCCCACUAAGUCAGGUUUAAAUGUAGGUUUAUGGCUGAUCCCACACACAACAUAGUAGUAUACAUAGUAGCGUACAUUCAUUUGUCAGAUUAUCUGUUAUAAUAUGAGGCACGGUUUGCCUCAGUGUAGAGAUAAAGGAGUUCUCACUUUGCGUUUCAGCUCCUUGAGGUUCUGUAGCACCGGCUGCAGAGCCUGAUGGGCGUCCGCUACCUCCGAGUCGUAUUUGGUCAUGUAGUGCUGUCGCAGCUGCUCUGCCUGCAGAGACACGGAGAGGAAUAGAAACAAAAUGAUUAUUAAAAACCAAAAUAAUGCGGAUACGAAAACUAUAAAUGUGAAAUAAAUGUGUUCUGCCUGAGUGAAAUAUUUAUGAAUUACCUCCUCACUUAGUCGGUGAUCUCUCAGCGUGGGAGGUAUCCCAGGAUGCUUUGCGCUCAGCAGUUCCAUCACAUUGUGGGUAGCAUGAAGUCUCUGAUUUACCACAAAAAAGACACAAAUCAUCAGACAUUUUAAUAUAAACUCACAGUUUAUAAACUAUCCACAGUGGUUAGAAAUAAAAAUCUAAUGUGCAUCAUGAAUGUCUGUAGAAUCAAAACCUUAAAGACUCUUGUCUCUUGUGAGAAAUGAACCCCUUCAUAUGUAAAUCACAGACGUGAUGAAUGGGAUGUGAACGUAUACCUGUAAUGAAUCUGUUUUCAGGCGGCCUUUGUGCUCCUCUGAUGAACGAAGCACUUCUCUAUACAUCUCUGUCGCCUCUACAAACUCAUCUGCAGGUUGCAAAGGAGACGGUGAUUAUUAGCGACACUCAACAUGUCCCGUCACAUGUGGAGCUUAUGAGACGCGCUACUCCAGCCACAUUAUGCACAUGCUGCAACAAAACGUCUCGACACACAAAGAUGAGAUCAUGGCUUGUGUUGUGUUUGAACUGAUUCCCAUGGGAAACUGGGAGCAGUGGGAGCACAAGUACAGAGGUUGGGUUCUAUACCUCUGAUGAUGUGGAUUCCAGCCAGGCCGUUGAGUGCACACACCAAUUGUCUGUGAGCUUCUUCACACUCCACUCGACAUUUCUUCUGCAGGGACUUCAGGAGCUCCUCCAUCGUCAUGGUGCUGGGAAGGAGGGGACACAAACACACUCAAUAAACCCUCCAACGCAAAUGGAUCAACUUUAAAUAAACACAAAUACACAUUGUAUAGCUGACAAAAAGGUUGCUGCGGUCUAUUACCGUUACUAAUGCUGUGAUUUAGUCUAGCUAGAUUGGUAAUUAACCGUUGCAGCUGCCUUCAGAUAAAGAGCUCUCCUUUCGCCUUGAACACAUAAUGCAAAGUGUCAUCUACCUUUUCUGCAGAGGCAGGAACUCCCCCCUCACGGCCUGCGGAUGGCAGCAGGCCUGACGCAGCCUCAGCAGCGGACACAGGAUGGUGUGGACGGUGCGGCGGUCCAAGCUGCCAAGUUUCAGGCUCCAGUCGGAGAUCUUCCUGAGUUUGACCAGAGCGUCCUGGGAGCAGACCUCGUGCUGACGGUGGUAAAAGUGACCCUCGACGGGGGAGAAGUCUAGCCAGUGAACCUCCUCCGUCUGAGGGGGAAUCUGGAUCUGGAAACACAACACGGAGCAGCCUCUCUGGACAGGAGUGCCACUGACACACCAGCGGUUGACAGAUGCGAGACGUAGAGCCAUCUCUGCAGCCUGAUGUGGGACAUUCAACCAUCUGAGCCUCGUCCAGACAGAUGCGCCACCACUCCACAGCCACCAAAGGACUGGGUAUGGCCAUGUAGCGCUUCUGGUUGCGAAAGCGGCGUCCGUCCUUGCUGUUGCUGUGGGGAAUGUCGACGUAGUUGAGCUCCGACCGCAGCACGUCGUACGUGGUGAUGACCACAUCCUGCUCGGCGAGCAUGUGUGGCUGGAUGAACCCGUGCUUCUUCACACCCUGAUAAACCUGAGCACUCGCAGCGAGGAGGACCUGAUGUGCCGGUUGAUCUCCUCCACCCACUGGUGGCAUAUGGAGCUCGGGGAGAUGAUGAGGGUGGCGCCGGUGGAGACGGGCUUCAUGGCGACCAGGCAGUGAGGGCAGUAGAAAGGUG